CUGUGGAAGCUUCUUCCCUGGAGGUUUUCCAAAGGAGGCUGGAUAGCCGUCUCUCUUGGAUGGUUUAGACACAACAAAUCCUGCACCUUGGCACUGGGUUAGACUAGAUGACCCUUGUGGUCCCUGCUAACCUGUGGGUCUGUGAUUGGCAUGUGGCUUAUGCUGCAGGGGAAUUGUGCUCAUGCCGUACUGUGCUCCAGGAUGCUACAGCAUUAAGAAGACUGGUAAUAGGUGCCUGAGAUUUAGCCAAUAUUGUAAAUGCCACUAGCUGCCAAGUGCCGCUUGCCAGCCGUUUCCAUCCGAGGGCUGGAAGGGGCUGCAAGAAACCUGCCUGUCCUACCUCUGAAAUCGAUGCUCUAGGCCAGUUUGUGAGUGUUUUAACCUUCUGAAGAGCAUUAAUACUUUGCAGCUGAAUUUGGUGAUGCUUGCACUAGUGUAAGGGUGCAGGGAAAUGCAGCCUCUUCUCCAAAUGGUUUAUAACUACAUGGACAAGUGGCAUGUGAAGAAGGGUGAGAUGCAAGCCAAGCAGCCAGGCUGGCUGACACGAGUCUUUGCACACUUUUUGUAGACGAGGAGCUAGUCUUGGCUGCUCCUCUGCUGAAAGCCUCGACUCCCUCCUUGCAGGCGGAGGCUGCAUGCUCAGGAAGCCAGAGAGAGCGUUCUGUGGGGAAAGGUGCUGCACGGGGAGCCAUGACCUAAUUACAUGGAACCAUUUUAGGGUUGCAGUUGCUAGUUUGUGGCCCACCUAGGGAGCCAGCAGACUUAAUCGUCCUGCUGCACUUGCGUAAAGAGACAGCCGUGCCCCUCCUCUUUAUAUUCUGUCUGUCUUGUCUCACUAGCCUGUCUCUUAUUUCUGAGGGAUUCUCCUCCCACGCGGGGGGGUCUGAGGCUCAUUUUCAUCCUCGUGUCCCCUCUCCGCCAUCAGAUGUUUGUGAGAAGAGCGCAGCUCUGAUGCAGAUCCUGCUAUGAUAGCAGAUAAUUGUGUGCAUCCCCUGCAGAAAGCUUUGUUUCUAAACGAGUGAAUCUCUCGCCCUCUUCGGACCUGAAGCUCGCAUGCCACCCAGUCUCCCCUCUCCUUCUCUGUGGGGUACACUUCUGUACCCCACUGCUUGUGACAGGGGCUACGAGACCUGCCGGUCAUCCCCCUCCUCACCUGGGUGCCUGUGUUUUGGGUGUGCUUUGCACUAGGGAUGUAUCUCUUGUCCCUCUUUCCCAAGUGCUCUAGGGAUUAUUUCAGUUCUUCGACAUAGUUAAAGCUGUGGGGCCAGUGCAAACCUGAAUGAAAUAUUAAAAUAAACGUGGGCUGUUGUACCCCCACCACUCACUUUCCAUUUAAUUAAAAACUACCCUUGGCUCGAUGAGUCUGCGCAGCAGGGAGUCUCAGAAUCCAGGAAUCUUGCUACAGAAUUUAGGUCCAACUGGGCCUUUAUUAUUUAUGCUUUAGGUAUUGUAUCAGGUGACUGCCUGACAUAUUCCUGUUGAACUAACAUCUCAGUCUGGGAUACUCAUUCCGUACGCCUGCCACCACCUCUCUCUUUAGUGCUUAGCCAAGAAAGAAUGGAUCCGUUACAGGAGAAGAGGAUGUUUGUAAAGCUCCUAGAUGGAACAUGGAGGCCCAGGAAGUCGAGACAGUUGGGAAGUAGAUUGGGGUGCCACCUGAAGGUGUUGGAGAACAAAGAGAUCGGGUGGCCUCCUGACCCGGAAGAGAGACAAAGGCCAGAAGAGGGGCUGGAGAGUUUCCGUUUGGAGCUGGCUGGGAAGACGGGGCGGGGGAGGCCCAGAACUGGGGUCUGGGCUCCCUGACCCCCAAGAUGGAUCUGACUGAGGGGUCCUGUUCUUCAUACCGACAAGCUCUGUUUUAGACCAUGUUCCUGUCAUCUAAUAAACCUUCUGUUUUACUGGC